rnacentral:lncRNA from 1 species
CCAGGAAAAAAAUAAAUAAUAGAUCUAGUUUUAAAUACACUUAAAACCCAUUUUGGUAAUUGUACACCCAAAAUCAAUUUUGAUUCAAACUAUCCAAACAACAUAAAUUGAUGAGAAUCACUUUUACAUUAACGUAUCCAAACAAAAAUCAAUUCUACCAAACUCACUUUUAACCAAAAUCAAUUCUGUCAAACUCAAUUCUACCAAACUCAAUUCUCGCCAACGCAUAACCAAACACACAC